GAGUUUGAUCGUGGCUCAGAUUGAACGCUGGCGGCAUGCCUUACACAUGCAAGUCUAACGGCAGCAUGAUCUAGCUUGCUAGAUUGAUGGCGAGUGGCGAACGGGUGAGUAAUACAUCGGAACGUGCCCUGUAGUGGGGAUAACUAGUCGAAAGAUUAGCUAAUACCGCAUACGACCUGAGGGUGAAAGUGGGGGACCGCAAGGCCUCAUGCUAUAGGAGCGGCCGAUGUCUGAUUAGCUAGUUGGUGGGGUAAAGGCCCACCAAGGCGACGAUCAGUAGCUGGUCUGAGAGGACGAUCAGCCACACUGGGACUGAGACACGGCCCAGACUCCUACGGGAGGCAGCAGUGGGGAAUUUUGGACAAUGGGCGAAAGCCUGAUCCAGCAAUGCCGCGUGUGUGAAGAAGGCCUCGGUUGUAAGU
rnacentral:rRNA from 1 species